rnacentral:rRNA from 1 species
CCUACGGGUGGCAGCAGUGGGGAAUAUUGCACAAUGGGGGAAACCCUGAUGCAGCAACGCCGCGUGAGUGAUGAAGUAUUUCGGUAUGUAAAGCUCUAUCAGCAGGGAAGAAGAUGACGGUACCUGAGUAAGAAGCCCUGGCUAACUACGUGACAGCAGCCGCGGUAAUACGGAGGGGGCAAGCGUUAUCCGGAUUUACUGGGUGUAAAGGGAGCGUAGACGGUAGGACAAGUCUGGAGUGAAAGCCCGGGGCUCAACCCCGGGACUGCUUUGGAAACUGCCUGACUGGAGUGCUGGAGAGGCAAGCGGAAUUCCUAGUGUAGCGGUGAAAUGCGUAGAUAUCACGCAGAACUCCGAUUGCGAAGGCAGCAUACCGGCGCUCAACUGACGCUGAGGCACGAAAGCGUGGGGAUCGAACAGGAUUAGAUACCCUAGUAGUC